UACGUAGGUGGCAAGCGUUGUCCGGAUUUAUUGGGCGUAAAGGGCGCGCAGGCGGUCCGUUAAGUCCGAGGUGAAAUCUCCCGGCUCAACUGGGAGGGGUCUUCAGAUACUGGCGGACUUGAGGAGUGCAGAGGUGAGUGGAAUUCUCGGUGUAGUGGUGAAAUGCGUAGAUAUCGAGAGGAACACCAGUGGCGAAGGCGGCUCACUGGGCACCACCUGACGCUGAGGCGCGAAAGCGUGGGGAGCGAACCGG
rnacentral:rRNA from 1 species